UACGUAGGAGACGAGCGUUGUCCGGAAUCACUGGGCGUAAAGCGCGUGUAGGCGGGUGAGCAAGUCUGCUGUGAAAACUCCUGGCUUAACCGGGAGAGGUCGGUGGAAACUGCUCGUCUGGAGGACGGUAGAGGCUGGUGGAAUUCCCGGUGUAGUGGUGAAAUGCGUAGAGAUCGGGAGGAACACCUGUGGCGAAGGCGGGUCUCUGGGCCGAUACUGACGCUGAGGAGCGAAAGCGUGGGGAGCGAACAGG
rnacentral:rRNA from 1 species